GACGAACGCUGGCGGCGUGCUUAACACAUGCAAGUCGAACGGAAAGGCCCUGCUUUUGUGGGGUGCUCGAGUGGCGAACGGGUGAGUAACACGUGAGUAACCUGCCCUUGACUUUGGGAUAACUUCAGGAAACUGGGGCUAAUACCGGAUAGGAGCUCCUGCUGCAUGGUGGGGGUUGGAAAGUUUCGGCGGUUGGGGAUGGACUCGCGGCUUAUCAGCUUGUUGGUGGGGUAGUGGCUUACCAAGGCUUUGACGGGUAGCCGGCCUGAGAGGGUGACCGGCGACAUUGGGACUGAGAGACGGCGCAGACGCCUACGGGAGGCAGCAGUGGGGAAUAUUGCACAAUGGGCGGAAGCCGGAUGCAGAAACGCCGCGUGCGGGAUGACGGCCUUCGGGUUGUAAACCGCUUUCGCCUGUGACGAAGCGUGAGUGACGGUAAUGGGUAAAGAAGCACCGGCUAACUACGUG
rnacentral:rRNA from 1 species